AUUGAACGCUGGCGGCAGGCCUAACACAUGCAAGUCGAGCGGAUGAAGGGAGCUUGCUCCUGGAUUCAGCGGCGGACGGGUGAGUAAUGCCUAGGAAUCUGCCUGGUAGGGGGGGAUAACGUCCGGAAACGGGCGCUAAUACCGCAUACGUCCUGAGGGAGAAAGUGGGGGAUCUUCGGACCUCACGCUAUCAGAUGAGCCUAGGUCGGAUUAGCUAGUUGGUGGGGUAAAGGCCUACCAAGGCGACGAUCCGUAACUGGUCUGAGAGGAUGAUCAGUCACACUGGAACUGAGACACGGUCCAGACUCCUGCGGGAGGCAGCAGUGGGGAAUAUUGGACAAUGGGCGAAAGCCUGAUCCAGCCAUGCCGCGUGUGUGAAGAAGGUCUUCGGAUUGUAAAGCACUUUAAGUUGGGAGGAAGGGCAGUAAGUUAAUACCUUGCUGUUUUGACGUUACCAACAGAAUAAGCACCGGCUAACUUCGUG
rnacentral:rRNA from 1 species